ACAACUUUCAGCAACGGAUCUCUUGGCUCUCGCAUCGAUGAAGAACCCAGCGAAUUGCGAUAAGUAAUGUGAAUUGCAGAUUUUCAGUGAAUCAUCGAAUCUUUGAACGCACCUUGCGCUCCUUGGUAUUCCGAGGAGCAUGCCUGUUUGAGUGUCAUG
rnacentral:rRNA from 1 species